ACGCUCGACACCUACGGGAAGCAGCAGUGGGGAAUAUUGCACAAUGGGGGAAACCCUGAUGCAGCGACGCCGCGUGAGCGAAGAAGUAUUUCGGUAUGUAAAGCUCUAUCAGCAGGGAAGAAACUGACGGUACCUGACUAAGAAGCACCGGCUAAAUACGUCNCNNGCGCGUAUNUNGCGGCGNGNAG
rnacentral:rRNA from 1 species